AGCUCCAAUAGCGUAUACUAAAGUUGUUGCGGUUAAAAAGCUCGUAGUUGAAAUUCUGGAGGACCGAGUCGGUCGGACGGCGAAAGUCUCUGUACAUGGGUCGGCCUCCAUACCUUUCUAGAACGAGCGUCGGCGCUUAAUUGAGUCGGCGUAGGGGCAACCCGUUCGGUCUAGAUCGUUUACUGUGAGAAAAUCGGAGUGUUCAAAGCAGGUAUUGCCUGAACGUGUUAGCAUGGAAUAAUAGAAUAGGACUUUGGACCUAUUUUGUUGGUUUAUAGGACCAAAGUAAUGAUUAAUAGGAACAGUUGGGGACAUUUGUACUUCGUGGCUAGAGGUGAAAUUCUUAGAUUCACGGAAGACAAACAUAUGCGAAAGCAUUUGUCAAGGAUGUUUUCAUUAA
rnacentral:rRNA from 1 species